rnacentral:rRNA from 1 species
CGACCGCUGGCGGCGUGCUUAACACAUGCAAGUCGAACGGAAAGGCCCCUUUGGGGGUCCUCGAGUGGCGAACGGGUGAGUAACACGUGAGUAACCUGCCCUUGACUUCGGGAUAACUUCAGGAAACUGGGGCUAAUACCGGAUAGGAAUCCUUGCUGCAUGGUGGGGGUUGGAAAGCUUCGGCGGUUUUGGAUGGACUCGCGGCUUAUCAGCUUGUUGGUGGGGUAGUGGCUUACCAAGGCUUUGACGGGUAGCCGGCCUGAGAGGGCGACCGGCCACAUUGGGACUGAGAUACGGCCCAGACUCCUACGGGAGGCAGCAGUGGGGAAUAUUGCACAAUGGGCGGAAGCCUGAUGCAGCAACGCCGCGUGCGGGAUGACGAACUUCGGGUUGUAAACCGCUUUCAGCAGGGGCGAAGCUUGUGGUGACGGUACCUGCAGAAGAAGCACCGGCUAACUACGUG